rnacentral:rRNA from 1 species
GACGAACGCUGGCGGCGUGCUUAACACAUGCAAGUCGAACGGAAAGGCCCUGCUUGCAGGGUGCUCGAGUGGCGAACGGGUGAGUAACACGUGGGUGAUCUGCCCCUUACUUUGGGAUAAGCCUGGGAAACUGGGUCUAAUACUGGAUAGGACCAUGCUGUAGGUGGUGUGGUGGAAAGAUUAGUUUCGGUAAGGGAUGAGCUCGCGGCCUAUCAGCUUGUUGGUGGGGGAAUGGCCUACCAAGGCGUCGACGGGUAGCCGGCCUGAGAGGGUGGACGGCCACAUUGGGACUGCGAUACGGCCCAGCCUCCUACGGGAGGCAGCAGUGGGGAAUAUUGCACAAUGGGCGCAAGCCUGAUGCAGCGACGCCGCGUGGGGGGUGACGGCCUUCGGGUUGUAAACUCCUUUCAGCCAUGACGAAGCCCUUGUGGUGACGGUAGUGGUAGAAGAAGCACCGGCUAACUACGUG